CAGCCCGGCCUGGGGGGCUUGCACACGCCGGGACAUGGGGGCGGGAGGGGAUUCUGGCCAAGAAGCCAGGUCAGGCUUCUGAGGAGGCUGUGGGGUUUCAACUUCAGGGCUGGGAGGGGAAGCGCUCCGGGAAACGGGGACCACUGGACGGGGCCCCUCCAGGGGUGGCCCGGGAGUUCGGCUGUCUUGUUGGGAAGACUUGGGGCCGUGUUGUGAGUGUCGGGAGCCCCGCGGCGUCUGGGCGGAGAAAACGAGGACCGGGUGGCACUUGUGGCAGGUCAGCAUCACCACCCAGACCGGGGCGCCCAGGAUUCACAAAGGGCUCUCCCCUGGGGGGCAUCUCUCGUGACAACGCCCACCGUUCCUUCCCCACAGGUCGGGGGACACCUGGAGGCGACUCUGAUGGAGGCAGAGAAACAGCUCCCGACACUGGAGCAGGAAGGCGGCUUGUGUGGGAUGCAGGGAUGGAGGGCCGGUUCCCAGCGGACCCUCAGGGCCCAGGAGGGAGUGAUGACCUCUGCGUCCCUGGUCUGCCGAGCCUCGGGGAGGACUGCCUUUGGCCUGUCUCAGGACGGCGCAGGUGACCCAAAGGAGGGUGGAGAAGAACGCGGCUUGUCGGACACUCCGCCGGGGCCCCGGGAACCAGCCACACGGGGAGGUCACAGCCACCCCAGACCAGUGCAAAGGGAAUUUCAGGCUGACAAUGAAUAGCAUCCCGUAGCCCAGGGGACGCAGGUUCGUGCCCCGGUCCGGGA